UACAGAGGUCCCAAGCGUUAGGCGGAAUCACUGGGCUUAAAGCGUGUGUAGGCGGACUUCUAAGUACCUUGUGAAAUCCCACGGCUUAACCGUGGAACUGCUUGGUAUACUGGUUGUCUUGGGCCAUCUAGGGGCUACUGGAACUUCCGGUGGAGCGGUGAAAUGCGUAGAUAUCGGAAGGAACGCCGGUGGCGAAAGCGGCGCGCUGGACCUCUUCUGACGCUGAGGCGCGAAAGCUAGGGGAGCAAACGGG
rnacentral:rRNA from 1 species